UACGAAGGGUGCAAGCGUUACUCGGAAUUACUGGGCGUAAAGCGCACGUAGGCGGCUUGGUAAGUUAGAGGUGAAAGCCUGGAGCUCAACUCCAGAAUUGCCUUUAAGACUGCCGAGCUAGCAGGUGAGAGAGGUGAGUGGAAUUCCGAGUGUAGAGGUGAAACUCGUAGAUAUUCGGAAGAACACCAGUGGCGAAGGCGGCUCACUGGCUCAUACUGGACGCUGAGGUGCGAAAGCGUGGGGAGCAAACAGG
rnacentral:rRNA from 1 species